rnacentral:rRNA from 1 species
UGGGGAAUUUUCCGCAAUGGGCGAAAGCCUGACGGAGCAAUACCGCGUGAGGGAGGAAGGCUCUUGGGUUGCAAACCUCAAAACUUAGGGAAGAAAAAAAUGACGGUACCUAAUGUAAGCAUCGGCUAACUCCGUGCCAGCAGCCGCGGUAAUACGGAGGAUGCAAGCGUUAUCCGGAAUCAUUGGGCGUAAAGAGUCCGUAGGUGGCACUUCAAGUCUGCUUUCAAAGACCGAAGCUCAACUUCGGAAAGGGAGUGGAAACUGAAGAGCUAGAGUAUAGUAGGGGUAGAGGGAAUUCCUAGUGUAGCGGUGAAAUGCGUAGAGAUUAGGAAGAACACCAGUGGCGAAGGCGCUCUACUGGGCAUAUACUGACACUGAGGGACGAAAGCUAGGGGAGCGAAAGGGAUUAGAUACCCCUGUAGU